rnacentral:lncRNA from 1 species
CGCAUCGCACGGAAACCCCCCAUCCCACGGCCCUCCUUCGCCUACUUUGACCCCCCACUCUCACUCAUCCCCAUACUUACUGCAUUUAAUAAUCUUCACACGCCACUCCACCACUACUUUUUUUCUCUCUCUCAAAAAAAAUAUCAUCUCUUUCGUGUUUGGGUGCUCAUUAUUCUCUCUCAACCACUGAUACUGCUGUGGGUUUUUUGUUUUCUUUUUCUUCUUGGGUAAUCUUCGCAGCUCACCUCAGCUCGUGUGGUAUCUCCUUGCUUUUGUGUUUCUUUUUGAAGAAUUCUUGAUUGUUGGUGUGGAAGAAUUGAUGAUCUUGAUAUUUUCAAAGUUCUCUUUUUUUUUUUUUGUUGGGAGGAAAAUUUAUGUCUUUGGGGUUUUUUUGUUCAUAAUCUGUCUGUGAGUCUUUUUGGGUUCUUGUUUGGAUGUGGUUUUUAUGGGGGUUUCUAGGAUUGUGCUUGGUGAAAUCGAUCUGGUGUUUUGUGUGUUUUAAGUGGUUCUUGUGUAGCUUAUUAAUCUCUAGUUCUUGCUAAUUGCAGCCUUUUCAUGUUUUAUUUUGUUCCUGCACAUGGAAAUAUUGCAUCUCUUCGAACAGAUUUAUGUCCCUUUAUUGAAGAAACUAGGUUUAGGCUUUUUUGAUUUAUGCACUGUAUGGAAAUAUAGUAAAGAAUUUGGCUUUUUUAUGGAUGUGAUUUUACAGAUUUGAUAGUUAAUUUUCUAGUUUCUUGUUUCUGAGUUCAGUGAGUUCUGGAUUCUGAGAUCUAAAGUGUUGUGGUGAAUUCUCUCUCUCACAUACACACACAUUUUAAAUACAAUGCUCUCAAGCUCACCUAUAAUACAUUGUUCCUCAUACUUAACUGUUAGCUGUCUUGAAUUUUGUUAAAUACUUGAUUUUAUAUCUUAUUGUUAUGCAGUUUAUAUUAUAUCUAUUCUUCGCAACCGGUAUUGAUUCGUCUUCGAUGAUGUGUUUUUCUUGUAACAGAGAAAGGGUAGGUGUCAUACUUAUUAAACCUUUUGAGCUGAAGCAGUAGAUCAACAUGCCGUGGGGAUCACCGAAUUAUUUUGGGAAGUGUGUGCGAUUGGUUGUGUUCUUUCUCGUUAUCCUAUAAAUAAAUCGAUUUCAUUUGGUGAGUUUCUCCCUUAUGCCCUCUUCAUAUUGGCAUUUUGUAUUUGUGCAAACUUCAAUGCUUAAUUAUUGCAGCCUUGCAUAUUGAAAGGGAUUAACAUUGAUGGAUGUGUAUAUGAUGCAUAAAUGUGUCUUCACUAUGGUCUCGUGUGGCAUCAAACUGUAUUUGUUGAUUUUUGGACCAAUGUGUAUGGUUUUAGGAUUUCCGAAGAAUAGUUUCCAUGUCCAUGGUUGAAGCUCAAUGCAAUUUGUGCUAAUUCAUGAUGUCUUCUCUGCCUUUGAAGUAAACAUGGAAGGUUAAAUCUUAAUUAUGAUUAAUAAACUCUAAUUAUGGAUUGAUAAGCCCUAAUUGGGAAUUACCUUACUUGGGGAUUGAUGAACCCUAAAUUGAGGUGGCUGCACCAUGCACCUUGAUUUAUACAAUUCUUUGCCAAAGUUAUAAUGUGAAUGAAAUAAAGGUUUGCUAGUAUAUGCUUGUUAGUAUAUGCUUGUUUCCUUUCUGUAGCUGUUUUUGAGUUUUUGCAGACAAACUACUGAUUUACUUUGAUAUCCUAUUUUAAGUGCUAUGAUUUAUUUAAUGUGAAUAACCUCUUUUGAGUUUUUUUCAUCCAGAUAAGUCUUGUUAGGCUGCCUUAUUUUGGUCGACUCGUCUACUAGCUAUAUUUUGUUGUGGUGGGUGAAGUGAGAAUGCGCAUUGCUGUUGCUCGAAAGAAAAAUCAGAAAGCAAAACAACUGGGACAGAUUAAUAUGAGUAUUGGAAGCAUUGCUUUUUACCAAUUGAUGCAAGUUCGACAGGUAAGUGCUUCUCAUUUUCCAUGAAUUCAUGUAAAUUUCCCUUU